UGCAUCGGCCGGAAAUCGAACCCGUGGCAGGCGAGCAUUCUCGCCACUGAACUACCGAUGC
rnacentral:tRNA from 1 species